rnacentral:rRNA from 1 species
UGGGGAAUUUUGGACAAUGGGCGAAAGCCUGAUCCAGCAAUGCCGCGUGUGUGAAGAAGGCCUUCGGGUUGUAAAGCACUUUUGUCCGGAAAGAAAUCCUUGGCUCUAAUACAGUCGGGGGAUGACGGUACCGGAAGAAUAAGCACCGGCUAACUACGUGCCAGCAGCCGCGGUAAUACGUAGGGUGCAAGCGUUAAUCGGAAUUACUGGGCGUAAAGCGUGCGCAGGCGGUUUGCUAAGACCGAUGUGAAAUCCCCGGGCAUCCAACCUGGGACUGCAUUGGUGACUGGCAGGCUAGAGUAUGGCAGAGGGGGGUAGAAUUCCACGUGUAGCAGUGAAAUGCGUAGAGAUGUGGAGGAAUACCGAUGGCGAAGGCAGCCCCCUGGGCCAAUACUGACGCUCAUGCACGAAAGCGUGGGGAGCAAACAGGAUUAGAUACCCUGGUAGUCCACGCCCUAAACGAUGUCAACUAGUUGUUGGGGAUUCAUUUCCUUAGUAACGUAGCUAACGCGUGAAGUUGACCGCCUGGGGAGUACGGUCGCAAGAUUAAAACUC